UUUCCGUAGGUGAACCUACGGAAGGAUCAUUAUUGUAUAACCGAGGUGCGAGGGCUGUCGCUGACCCGAAAGGUCGUGCACGCCUGAGUGCCCUCACACACAUCCAUCUCACCCCUAUGUGCACCACCGCGUGGGUCCCCCUUUGGCUUGUUCGGAGGGGGGCUUACGUUUUCACACAAACUUUGUAUGCAGUGUAGAAUGUAUUUUUUGUUUUUGCGAUCACGCAAUCAAUACAACUUUCAACAACGGAUCUCUUGGCUCUC
rnacentral:misc_RNA from 1 species